CAAUAGCGUAUACUAAAGUUGUUGCAGUUAAAAAGCUCGUAGUCGAACGUGUGGUGUGUGUGCGGGUCCGUCGGUGGGUGAAUGCCUGUCGAGCAGUGACUCGUGCACUGCCAGUCUGGCAAGUUGAGAGACUUGCCUCUUUCACUGUAAAAAAUUAGGGUGUUUCAAGCAAAGGUUGAUAUUGGAAUAUGAUAGUAUGGGAUGAUGAGAUAGGCCGUUGGCGGUAUUUUGUUGGUUUGCGCGUUGGCGGAAUGAUGAAGAGGGACAGUUGGGGGUAUUCGAAUUCUAGUGUCAGAGGUGAAAUUCUUGGAUUACUAGAAGGCGAACGACUGCGAAAGCAUUUACCAAGGAUGUUUUCAUUGA
rnacentral:rRNA from 1 species